rnacentral:rRNA from 1 species
UACGUAGGGUCCUAGCGUUGUCCGGAAUUAUUGGGCGUAAAGAGCUCGUAGGCGGCGUGUCGCGUCGGAUGUGAAAGCCCGGGGCUUAACUCCGGGUCUGCAUUCGAUACGGGCAUCACUGGAGUUCGGCAGGGGAGACUGGAAUUCCUGGUGUAGCGGUGAAAUGCGCAGAUAUCAGGAGGAACACCGGUGGCGAAGGCGGGUCUCUGGGCCGAUACUGACGCUGAGGAGCGAAAGCGUGGGGGAGCAAACAGG